UUAAUUAAUGUUUUUUCUUUUUAAAAAUAAAAAUUGCCUACCUGAGUUGGGGAUGUAUCUGGGAAGUCCUGCUUUCCAAGUUUUUUGCUUUGCCAGCAGCCAUAACUGUGGAAUCUGAAAAGAAAAAAACGUGUUUGAACGGGAAAGCAUUUUUUUAUGUAGUGAUUCCUUAAUUAUACCAUCCUUUAUGACCAUGCAGUGUGUAAAUAUGAGCAGCACAUAUUGUAAAUGCUGUGUAAACCUUCCAGGAAACAUUUUUUUACGAGAUUUACGGUAAAACAUGACUUAGUGCUGCUUUUGGAAAUUGGUUAAGGGUCAUAAACAUAAACAGAACAAUAAAAAAACACAAGUUUAUAUUUACUGACUAAAAGUCACAUACGCCUCUGCUCCAGCUCAACUGAAGUCAAAGCAGGCACUAUAGUCCCAUCAAAUUCUGGUCAGGAACUUUGCUCCCGACAGCACACCAUCAUCAAUGCAUGUGAUGAUCGUUUAUCUGCAGUCUUCGCUAUCAGUUAUUAAAGACGGUGACUGACGCAGUUUACCUGGGCAGGGGCAGACUCGAUUAAUUUAUUGCUUUUGAUAUAAUGCACAUAGAUGAAGAGCAGGGGUCACUUGUAUCGAAUGUUGCGUCGUUAUGUAACCCAGUCGCGGCUGCACUGUGAUGUCCAUCAACUGCUUUCUUUUAGAUGUUGAACUUAAGCCAGUUCUGUGGUUUUACGGUUUUCGUUGAUGUUAUUUGUAAAGCGUACUAGUUAAAAUGUUUAUCUUUGACCUUCGAGGGACCUUUUAAAAAAAAUGUUUGUCAGCGGCUUCUCACCGUGCUGUCUUCUUUGAGCAGAGACCACGUGAUGAACUCCAGCAGAGGCAUCAGGUUGAACAGCCGUUUCUUCUUCAGGCCCAGCAGACGCAGCACUUUUCCCAGCUCUUCGCUCUGCACGCCGCAACUCUGCGAACACAAAUGCUUAUUUCAGCUGCUGCAUUUGCCGCAGUCUUCCCUAAAUUAUUUUUCAUCAUAAGCUGUGAUGAAUUCUGCUGACAGUGACAAACACUAACUCGCUUUCCACAAGUUUGUUUUUGGACUGUCAGGUUUCAGCUUUGCAGCUCCUCACCUCAGUCACCUUCUGAAGCUCCUUUGCCCACUCCAUGAUCUUCAGUUCUGCCUCCCCACUGGUUUCAUGUUUAAGGCUCUCAGAUGCCCAAGGAGUCUCCUUCAGGAGCUGAGGACACAAAUUCAACUUGGUCCACCUGCUUCUUCCAGUGAUUGAUGAACUGCACACACUCUUGCAGGCUGCGCAGAUCUUUGAGGCUGCUGUGAUGAAGAUUUUGCUGCAGGAAACGCAUGUAAAAUGUUUAUUCCUACUUUAUUCCUAAGUUUUUUAAAGGCAGUUAAACAUCCCAAAUGGGAAAAAAGCAUACAGUUUUAAAUGUGACUUAAACCUCAAGGCAACAAAAUCAAGGAUGUUUCACGUACCUGUGAGUGUUUGUUGAGGCUGUUGGUGUUGGCUCUGCUGGGGACCGAGCUGGAUGUCUGGAGGUCCUCCACAGGCCCUGGCCAUCGUACGGCCCCGAUGGAGCUGCUUUGGGUGGUGCUGCUGUCCUCCGACUUCAGCAGUAUGCUCACCCCUGCAGGGUGGACAAAUUCAGGUCCCCCACAGAUCUGACCUGUCGGGGGAGGGGACACAGGACCUCUGGGGGAGAUCUUGCGGCCACCGGCAUUGGAAUGUUGGAGUAUUUGGUCCCCCUAACCCCAACCCUAUGACCUGAUCCACAUGAUUGUCGGAACCCAAGAUCUGCCCGCAGAACAUUGCAUGAAUACCCUGACAAGAAAUGCUCUCAACUUCCUGGCAGCUGCUGGCACGCUUACCUCGAGGGAAAAAAGGCGGAGGCUGACAAAAAGGUAAGAGUGACGCUUAUGUGAUGAUACUUAUGUGGUGUUACUGUAACUACUGCUGAUUCAUUUUCACAGCCGUUAUGGGUGGACCAGAUCGUUUGUGUAAAAUUUAAUGUACUAACUGCAUAUAAUUCCUUGGACAAAUAUGAUGAGUGUAGAUAACAUAUGUUUAUUGUUUUUUUUAAUUAUUGUGAACAGUUAUACCACCUCUCCAACAUAAACGUUCAUAAAACCAAACUAAAGCGUGUCCAUUCUGGGCAAUCAAGGGAGGGACUUUCACACUGAUAAAGGAUCUUAUAUCAUCUUUAAGACUUGAAACCCAACCGUAGCAACGCAGAUAAUAUCUACAGGUGAUAAGUAAGUCACUUGAACAUUGGCAUAAUUUAAAAACUGAUUAAAAGCACACCUACUACUGCUUUAAAAAUGUUCAUCUGGACUUAACAGUAUGUGGCUGAACUGUCAACAAGUAUUCAGUUCCCUUAAGUAAAUGUAGCAACACAACCUUAUAAAAUGUAAAAAGAAAAAAAUAAGUUCUGCCUUCAGAAAUAGUACAAGCACUUAUUAUGGCCCUAAAAAUGGCCCUUUUAAGUGGAUUAUUUAAUAUAUAUCUCAUUACUGGGUUAUUAUUACAGACUGAUUAAUGUGUAAAAAGCAGUUUAGUGGCGUAGUGGGUAGCAGGUCUGUAGGACUGGUGGGGAAAAAUGGGACUGAGUUCACGGAGUAUAUAAUCAUCAUUGCGUGUAAUAUUCAUGCAGCCAUUGCAACACAGGGGGCAUAGUUUACACAACGUUAAUUAUGUAACAACUGUCAGCGCAUAUCUUGGCAUGCUUUUAAAGUGAACUUCAGACAGCGUGGCACCACAAGUAGCACUUUCAGAUUUAUUUUUCAAUGCAGGCAAAUUGGUGACACUAGAACAAA